AAUCUUUUUACCAUUUUUGGAUUGGCUGUGAAGAGCGGUGCAUUCUGGGUAGGACGUCAGCGCGUCCAUAUCUGUAUUUUACUGCUGCUGAAGGAGAGAAACCCGAGUCAUGAAAGGGAUCCGAACUCUAAAUAAAUUAUCCAUACGAUGCUAUGCAGCCAGGAGGAGUGAUGUCCUCACUGAGCCCUUGGCUGGCCUGAAGGCUGGGGUGGCCCUGCCCCCCCAGAGUGUACAGGUGUCCAAGCUGCCCAACGGUCUAGUGAUUGCGUCGUUGGAGAACUACUCUCCCGUGUCCAGUGUGGGUGUGUUUGUUAAAGCAGGCACUCGUUAUGAGACUGUGGAGAACCAGGGAGUCAGUCAUGUCCUGCGGUUGGCAGCCAACCUGACUACUAAGGGAGCGUCUGCGUUCAGGAUCUGUCGUGGUGUGGAGGCAGUGGGGGGUAGUCUGAGCGUAACGUCAUCGAGGAGACCAUGGUUUACUCUGUGGAGUGUUUGAGAGACCACUUAGACACAGUGAUUGAGUACCUGAUCAACGUGACUAUGACCCCAGAGUUCCGGCCAUGGGAGGUGGACGACCUGACCUCCAGGGUCAAGGUAGACCGGGCCCUGGCCCACCAGUGUUCACAGAUAGGUGUCAUUGAGAAGUUGCAUGAAGCUGCUUACAAAAACGCUCUAUCCAACUCCCUGUACUGUCCUGACUACAUGGUUGGCAAAGUCAGUGGUGAACAGCUGCAGUCCUUUGUCCAGAACAAUUUCACCAGUGCCAGAAUGGCUCUUGUAGGACUAGGUGUGAAUCACUCAGUGCUGAGGCAGGUAGGAGAGCAGUUUCUCAGUGUCCGCAGUGGGGCUGGAGUUGCUGGGGCCAAGGCUGUAUACCGCGGAGGUGAGCUGCGGGUGCAGAACGGGGCCGGUCUGGUCCACUCGCUGAUCGCCAGCGAGGGCGGUGUGACUGGAUCAGCAGAGGCCAAUGCCUUUAGUGUGCUGCAAAGGGUUCUGGGAGCCGGGCCACACGUAAAGAGAGGCUCCAACGUCACCAGCAAACUGAGCCAGGGCAUCGCCAAUGCAACCACACAGCCCUUCGAUGCCACAGCCUUCAAUGCCACAUACGCUGACUCUGGACUCUUUGGAGUCUACUCCAUCGCCCAAGCCGACUCCGCAGGAGAGGUGAUAAAAGCUGCAAUCGCCCAGGUGACAGGGGUUGCGAAGGGAGGCGUGUCCGAGGACGAUGUCACCAGAGCAAAGAAGCAGUUGAAAGCUGAGUACCUGAUGUCCAUGGAGAGUUCCGAGGGCCUGCUGGAGGAGAUGGGGGCCCAGGCUCUAUCCAGCGGAGCCUACCACUCACCAGAGACAGUUACCCAGAGCAUUGACUCUGUCAGCCACGCAGACGUCGUCAACGCUGCGAGAAAGUUUGUGGACGGCAAGAAAUCGAUGGCAGCUAGUGGACACCUCACCAACACACCCUUCGUGGAUGAAUUGUGAAAAGAAAUCAACCAUAAACAAUGAAACAGUUAUUUAACAUUUUAACCUGGGCAGGUUGUGCCUGGCUGCUUACUCCAGAAAAAGGAACCUGGUUCUGAUAUGAAGCCCAUGACUUCAUCUCACAGCAAACGAUAAUCCUUUGUUAACAAAUCAUGUUAAAGUUUGUUCUGCAAUAAUUGUACACAGGUAUCAGGAAUAAUUAUGCUUUUUGUUGUCAAUAUCUCUGUAUAUUUGAUGUAAAUUCAUUAAAUGGUCUAUCUACA